rnacentral:rRNA from 1 species
GGUGCUUGCACCGAGCGGAUGAGUUGCGAACGGGUGAGUAACGCGUAGGUAACCUGCCUCUUAGCGGGGGAUAACUAUUGGAAACGAUAGCUAAUACCGCAUAAAAGUCGAUAUCGCGUGAUAUUGAUUUGAAAGGUGCAAUUGCAUCACUAAGAGAUGGACCUGCGUUGUAUUAGCUAGUUGGUGAGGUAACGGCUCACCAAGGCGACGAUACAUAGCCGACCUGAGAGGGUGAUCGGCCACACUGGGACUGAGACACGGCCCAGACUCCUACGGGAGGCAGCAGUAGGGAAUCUUCGGCAAUGGGGGCAACCCUGACCGAGCAACGCCGCGUGAGUGAAGAAGGUUUUCGGAUCGUAAAGCUCUGUUGUAAGAGAAGAACGAGUGUGAGAGUGGAAAGUUCACACUGUGACGGUAGCUUACCAGAAAGGGACGGCUAACUACGUGCCAGCAGCCGCGGUAAUACGUAGGUCCCGAGCGUUAUCCGGAUUUAUUGGGCGUAAAGCGAGCGCAGGCGGUUAGAUAAGUCUGAAGUUAAAGGCUGUGGCUUAACCAUAGUACGCUUUGGAAACUGUUUAACUUGAGUGCAGAAGGGGAGAGUGGAAUUCCAUGUGUAGCGGUGAAAUGCGUAGAUAUAUGGAGGAACACCGGUGGCGAAA